rnacentral:rRNA from 1 species
AGAGUUUGAUCCUGGCUCAGGAUGAACGCUGGCGGCGUGCCUAACACAUGCAAGUCGAGCGAACCCUUCGGGGUGAGCGGCGGACGGGUGAGUAACGCGUGGGUAACCUGCCCUGUACACACGGAUAACAUACCGAAAGGUAUGCUAAUACGAGAUAAUAUAUUUUAAUCGCAUGGUUAAGAUAUCAAAGCUCCGGCGGUACAGGAUGGACCCGCGUCUGAUUAGCUAGUUGGUGAGGUAAUGGCUCACCAAGGCGACGAUCAGUAGCCGACCUGAGAGGGUGAUCGGCCACACUGGAACUGAGACACGGUCCAGACUCCUACGGGAGGCAGCAGUGGGGAAUAUUGCACAAUGGGCGAAAGCCUGAUGCAGCAACGCCGCGUGAGCGAUGAAGGCCUUCGGGUCGUAAAGCUCUGUCCUCAAGGAAGAUAAUGACGGUACUUGAGGAGGAAGCCCCGGCUAACUACGUGCCAGCAGCCGCGGUAAUACGUAGGGGGCUAGCGUUAUCCGGAAUUACUGGGCGUAAAGGGUGCGUAGGCGGUCUUUCAAGCCAGAAGUGAAAGGCUACGGCUCAACCGUAGUAAGCUUUUGGAACUGUAAGACUUGAGUGCAGGAGAGGAGAGUGGAAUUCCUAGUGUAGCGGUGAAAUGCGUAGAUAUUAGGAGGAACACCAGUAGCGAAGGCGGCUCUCUGGACUGUAACUGACGCUGAGGCACGAAAGCGUGGGGAGCAAACAGGAUUAGAUACCCUGGUAGUCCACGCCGUAAACGAUGAGUACUAUGUGUCGGGGGUUACCCCCCUCGGUGCCGCAGCUAACGCAUUAAGCACUCCGCCUGGGAAGUACGCUCGCAAGAGUGAAACUCAAAGGAAUUGACGGGGACC